AGCUACUGGUGGUGCUGGUUUAGGUGCUUCUUUUGGCUUUUCGGGCUCUUUGGGCUUCUGAACCUCCUUUGGCUUUUCGGGCUCUUUAGGCUUCUCUGGUUCCUUGGGCUUCACGGGUUCUUUGGGCUUUUCAGCUUCUUUAGGCUUCUCCACCGCCACUAUUUUAGGUUUUUCGGGUUCUUUAGGCUUCUCUACUACUUUAGGUUUCUCUGAUUCUUUAGGCUUCUCUACAACCACCACUUUGGGUUUCUCAGGUUCUUUAGGCUUCUCCACGACUACUACUUUAGGUUUCUCGAGCUCUUUAGGCUUCUCCACCACCUUGGGCUUUUCGGGCUCUUUAGGCUUCUCCACCACCUUGGGCUUUUCGGGCUCUUUAGGCUUUUCCGAUUCUUUAGGCUUUUGA
rnacentral:lncRNA from 1 species